UUCACCUCCCAAACAACCUCGUUUAGUUAAUCAAGUGAUCUGGGGCGUCGAUGUUAGAUGAUCUAAUGGGGUUGUUAUUGUAUAUAACUGUCCUAACCCCACUACCCCCAACCCAUCUCUCUCUCAUUCUUCUUUAGAGAUCGACCAUCUAACAUUAACCCGCCGCCCCUACUUCAAACUGCCUUCACCGGCGGCGCCUACCCCAAAUCCAAACUAAAAUAACACCAUGUGACCCCUCAGUCCCCUCAUUUCAAAUCCCCAAUCCAUUUGUUCGAAAUCACCUUGAAUCGUCUUGAAUACCAUAUCAAAGGUGAACCCUAAAAGCCCAAAUUGGUCCAAUUCAAGUGUUCUCUUAUUUUAGGUUCAUUUUGACGUUAAUCGAGUAUUUUAAUGAAAAACAUGCGGUUAGUCUAAGAUUAAUCCAAAAUAUGAGGAUUUAAAGUUUCGUCGUUUGUUUUUAUUGUCCAUGGCUUAUUAGGUACUUUCCUUUUCUUAUAUUUCUGUUUUUUUUUACCCAGUUGUCGACCUAUCAUCUGCUUCUUCUAGUUUCUUUUUCUAUUUUCUUGUUAGUCUUAAGGAUAAUUUUGUUACGCAUGAUAAUUCAAACCUCUUACUCCUUUCAGGCUUUAAUUAGGUUGGUUUCAAUUUAUUAACUUCGUUAGUUUUAGUUUGUUAAUUGAAUUUCUGAAAGUGAUUCAAAUUGCUUUUGGUUAUGUGCUUCUUCAGUUAAAUUAGGUUCGGAUUAAAUUUGGGCUCAGGGUCCAUGACUUAGGUUCAGUAUCUUGGAUUGGGGUUAUGUUUUGAUUGAAUUCAGCCGGGGUCAAUUUGACCCAUACCCGUUUGGGCUAUUUGGUUAAUUAAUAGGGGUUCAAAGAUAGUUUGGAAAGUUUGGGGUGGGAAUCUGUUUGAAACGGAUUGAGAAGCUUCUAGGAAGUUGGGUGGGGGUUUAAAUUGAACUGCAAAAUUUUUAACUGAGGCUAUCUAAGCGAAAACAAAAGUUUGAAAAGGCCUAAGAGGAAAAACUAAUUCUCUGGUGCUGCCCUAGGUUCCUUGCCUAUAAAGGCAUCUUUUCCUUGCCUUUCAAAGGAGAUAUGAAGAGAUAAAAUAAUACAGAAAAUAAAACAGCUAGCUUUUACUUGAGCUUUCUUCAGAACUUUUUGAUUUUUCUUCAACUUCUGAAAACAAAGGUUUCCUAUUCUGAUAUUUGAAAGUGGAUUGAUGAUUGGUUGGUGAAAGUUUUCCGGUUCAUGUUUUGUUGAAAGUCAAUGUGCUAUUGGUUUCUGAUUUUAAUUUUUGAGGCUUGUCAGCUGUUUAAUCAAUUCUGAUACUUCUAAGCUUGCAAGUGUUCGAAGUCAGGGGUUGUGGUUUAGUUCCUUGCCGUUGGAUCUGCUGUUACUGCUUCCCCGAUUCUCAGGCUGAUUUUAGUUCUUUCCCUUGUUAUUAUUCAGAUACAAACUUCUAUAUUCCACCUAAUGUAAAGCUUGGUUUGGAAUCAAAUAGAAAUAUGGAGCUUUGAGUAGUCGCUUGAAAGUGUUCUAAGUCAGGGGUUGUGGUUUACUUCCUUGCCAUUGGAUCCGCUGUUACUGCUUCCCCUUAUUCUUAGGCUGAUUUUAGUUCUUUCCCUUGUUAUUAUUCAGGUACACACUUCUAUAUUCCACCUAAUGUAAACCUUGGUUUGGAAUCAAAUGGAAAUAUGGAGCUUUGAGUAGUAGUUGUGUUCGUAGUUUAGUUUACUUGUUUAUUUUAUUUCAUUUAGGAAGUUCUGCUUACUGUCCCUCUACCCCUUAAUAUGUGACCAGACCUUAGUAUUCUGAAAUUUUAUGUUCAUGAUAGUUUCGAUUGGUGUCCCUUUUAGUCUAAGCUUUUAAAUGUAUCCAUUUGUGUUGCAUUGUUAUACUUAGGGUCUAGACUCGAACCUUGUUGAAUAUGGCUGCAUAACGAGUUUCAAAGUUGGUGCAUAUCUGCUUUCCUACAGCAGAGUUUUAUAUUUGUUCCUUCAUUUCACCGUUAGAUCUAGUUUAAAUUGAUUUUAGGUUUGGUUUAGUCUCUUUGUUAGAGUCUGAGUCUUGUAUCACAUGUUUUUAUUUCACUUCCUUUUUUACAAUUCAAGUAAGGCAUUUGUGUUCUUCAAGAACCAAGACUCAAAUAAUGAAUUAUGGCUCGACAAGUUGCUAAACUUGCUAAGUUACGUGCGAUACUCAUGGUCGUUAUCAAGAUCACAAUCAGGAUUCGAAUUUCAUGCAAUCAUUUGUCGAUUUAUCUUAAUUAAAAUGAAUAUAUGGAUUUGUGUAUUUGCCCAGUGUUCAAUUUCUGUUUAUUUCAUUAAAGUAACAAUCAUUUAGGUUUUUGUUGCAUGUGAUAUUGCCCAGUUGUGAGGCGAUGUUGAAGACUCGAUAUAGAUUCUUGCAAUCAUUGUUGUCAAGCCUACAAAGAUCUGGGCUCUCUUGGGCAAGUGUUUUUCUUAAGAAAAAUGCCAUACGAGUCCAAGGCAGACCCAGGCCCAAUCAAGUUGGAAUUUGAGAUUCAGAUUUAAUUGCUUUACUUAAAUAAUCAGCGAUUCAAGAAAAAAUAAAAUGUUCUUUUGGUUACGAGUUCCAUGUAAUUUCAGCUAAUGGAUGUUUAAUGUCAUUGGCUUGUGAAUGUUUGGCCUCAAGCCAGACCCAAGCGAUGCCCUUGAAAUAAUCUAUCCCUUUUCUUUUAAAAGAUGUUAUAUUUUUAGACCAUAACAGAAUCUCCGCCCCGUUAAUGUUGGAUGCCUAAGCUUCUUUAAAUAUGUUGAGGUGAACCACAAUAGAUAGGACGUAGCUAUGGCUCUCAAAGGUUUAGCCUUGAAUUUCCC
rnacentral:lncRNA from 1 species